AAUUGAGCCCUAUUUUGAGGGAAAUUAGUUUUGCAGACUUCGUUAAAAAAAAAAAAAAAAGCUGAAACUUUUGUUCACCAGCUGCUCAACUUUUCAGUCUGGGUCUGAGCUGGAACCUGCUGCAAGCGUUUGACGUGCCAUUACCUUACUGGGGGGCCUCACUGUUCUUAGUUGGAUGACACGGGACUCUCCAUUGCAAUCUACUUGCCUAGAGCAUCACCCCAUCUCCAGAAGCAGGAGGGAGAAUGGUUUUGAAUCUUAGCUCUAUCAUUUUCUGACUCUGUACCAAAUUACAUAUAGAUCUGUCAGAAUGAUGUAAGACCUGAAAUCUCUCUGUAAGUUGAUCCUCUUGACCCCAUGAUUAGGAGCUUCAUAAUGUGGUACCACACCUGGAAAUCUCCAGAACAAGACCUCAAGGAAGCACAGGAAAUCCCUAGAGUGGCAAAACAUCCGAUUUGAAGACAUUCAAUUAUUUCUCUGUGCAUCAGGAGCAUCACUGUUAAUUAACUAUUGAUAUGCUUGAAAGAGUUUGUUUAGCAAUAGCCCUUGCAGACAAAAAAAGAGCCGUGUAUCAUUCAUGAUGAACUAGACAAUGCUGCCACAAUGAGUUAACUUCUACAUCUUAUUCCCUUGGCAAAAGUUUAGUUCUUAUUCCUGCAAAUUUUGAUGCAAGAUGGUUGGCUCUCCAGGCAGAUACUGACCUUGUGAAAUAGUCAUCUCAACAUGUUCCUCCAUAACAAGACUCCACAGCAGGGGAAGAUGGAAGUGGAGGGUCACACACCUGGUCUUAUAUACUUUGAUGCAAAGGUGAUGCAUGUCAUUUUUACUUACAGCUUGUAGGCCAGAACAAAGCCUAAUAUACUUGCAAGGGGUCUGGAAAAUAUUCUGAAGCACAUGGCUGUUCAGUGAGCGGUAAAUGCUUCUCCCACACCAGGCUUUGGCAGACUUCAAAUUUGUUCCUAAUAGGCCUAAUUUACACCACUAACUGUAUAUCCCUUGAGUCUUCCUGGAAUAUUUUGUUAAUGUUUUUCUAGCACAGUGUCUGGCACAAAGUAUUCAAUAAACAUACACAGCAGAACACUUAGAUCCGUAAGUUUCACUUUAUCUUUGGACUUCAGAACCCAUGUAGCUGCUACAUCAUAUCAGGAAAGUGUAACUGCAACUCUAACUGCAAUGAAAAUUAACAGAUAAAAUGCUCAGCCCAGCUUCAAUUUUGUUUUGUUUUGUUUUUGAUUUUUGUAGUUUUUGCUUUGUUUCUUUGCUCCAGAGCAGAAGCUCAUACCUGAUUGUCACUGGACUUAGAACAAUAGUUGUGUCCACACACAAUGAGAGUGGUUCAAAUUCUUUGGGGAAUUUGUCUUCAAGUAUCUGAAGCUGGGUUGGGACGCCAGUCUCUAUGUGUAAAUUAGGUUCAUUCCCUUUCAGAUGUUGUAUUUUAUUUUCAAUCAAUACUGUCCACUCUGUAAUGGUUCACUGCAUAGACCUGAAGAUGACAUUUUGGGCUGUGUCUUGUAUUUGUCACUUAUUAGCACUUUGUGGCCAGGUUAAUUAACCUUUUGUGUCUAGGUUUUCUCAUUUGUAAAUAAAAAUGUUUAUUUCUAUAAUUUCAUGUUGACAAACUAGCAAGUCGAUCUAAGUCUAGUAAGUGUGUGUGUAUAUCAGUGAUAGAUAUUGUCAUCAUAAUGAUAAUUUUCAUUAUCAUCUAUCCUAAAGAUCUUAUUCUAUCUAAAAAGAAAUCCCUGUAAACAAUUUUUGAAAGUAUUUACUUACAUAUAUUUGUUCAUUCCACUACUUCCCCAAUUAACACUCUAAUAUCUUAAAGCAUCUUGUCCUGAGACAAGAUUCCAUAAAUGUUUGUUGAAUGAGUAAAUGAUAUACUAACGAUAAAUGUAACUCUAUUCUCAGCAUUUUAUACAUAAUGAUCAUACAUUUAGGUGACACACAUUUCACUUGACUUUUUUACUUGCUUCAAAAUAUGAUUUUAAAAAAACCUCUCGGCAUAUAAAACCUAGAAAUUGGGGUGAGUGACAAAAACUCUUCAGUAUGGCCAAAAGGACUAUUAAGUUCUAAGGAAGAAGCUAUCUAACAUUGCUUAACUAUAGUACUUUGGAAUAAAUUUAUGGUAGCAUUUGGCACAUUUUAUUUUAGGUUUUACUGGAUCUAGGCUUUUGUUUAAAGGUAACAAACAUUUUUUAAUAGCAGAUGUUUAGUGGGAUAACAAAUGGACUAAUCCUACCUUCCAUUCUGUUGAAAUAUGCAACCCCUUGAAUUCCAAACAAGACAUUUUAACGGUGAAACAAAAUACCCCCAAACAAGUAACACUGUAGAACUUAAGAUUUACCAUCUAUGUAUAUAACUUAUGCUUCACUUAUAUAUUGUGUACAUGAAUUACGCUAAAAGUAAGCUAAUUGUUACAUAGGUAAUGUUCAGAACUCGCUAUAUCAUCUAUGCCUGAAUAAUCUGAGAUAGCUAUAUUAGAUAAACAUGAACCUACAUUUUAUUAUGCCAAUUAAAAUUUCUAUUAUUUUAGAAUUGAAACUCUUCCUAGUUCCAGAAAGUUUUUUUUGUUUUUUGUUUUGUUUUGUUUUGCGGGGCCUCUCACUGUUGUGGCCUCUCCCGCUGCGGAGCAGAGGCUCCGGACGCGCAGGCUCAGCGGCCAUGGCUCACGGGCCCAGCCGCUCCGCGGCAUGUGGGAUCUUCCCGGACCGGGGCACGAACCCGCGUUCCCUGCAUCGGCAGGCGGACUCUCAACCACUGCGCCACCAGGGAAGCCCCCAGAAAGCUUUUCUGGUGAUUUACAGUAGAACUUGAUAUAACUAAAUAAUUUAACACAAAGAAAGGAAAACCUCCUAGAGCAGUCAUUUCAGACCCCUAAUUAUCAGAAGGACCCUCUUUUUUCUAUUACAAAAGAAAUUCAUUAUAGAACCAACUAUGUGAAGUUAACAAAGAGAAGCAGAGUAGUUAUGAUGGACUCAGGUAAAGGGAAUCUGGUAGCACAUGCCUAGUGUUUUGCCUUUUCCUCACCUACCACGGGUUUGUGGGUAGUACCUACAAAGAAAUAAAGGAGCUAGGGACACAACCUGAAAACCACUAAUCUCACUAAUAUAUACAAUCCACCUAGUAAAAUGGCCCCUGAAAUGCCAUACCUGUGUUUUCCUGGUCCACUGAUUUAUUUGAUAGGCACACUCCUGUGGUAAAUAUUUGAACCACAUUAUUUUCUUUUUUCUGUCUUCAAGUGUCUAGUCAUCAGUUCCUUCAGAUUUUCUAUUUAAAAAAAUAUAUAUAAAGUUAGAUUGUCAAACUUUAUGACUGUAGAAAUACUUUUAGUGGACAAAAUUUUAAUGUAAUAACCCUAUAUUUAUCAAGAGUCAAAUUUAGAGAAAAAAAAUCUAUAUGAGGAACAUCUCCAUAAGAUCUGAACAGCGCAGUGUUACUUAACAGAAUCCAAAAAGGAUCUAAUCCGUACAGAAUUCAGUGCCAAAAAAAUGGAUUGCCAGACAGAAAAGGGGGCAAAUGACACAAACUUCUAAAUUAUCAAAGAAAAGAUACAUAUGAUCAAGAAAUAUAAAAAUA